UCCAGGCCACGGCCAGGCAGGAGGAGGCGGCCUGUACCUCCGCGCCCUGGGCUGACUUUCAGGCCUGGGACAAGCCCCAGGGGCCCCCGCUGCCUUGUGCCAGCCGGACCAGGAGCACAGCGGCACCGGGUCAAGGGAGGCCACACGCGUGGCCAGCGUCCCUCUGCCAGGUUCGCAGGAAGGAGCCCUAUACCUGGGCUGCGCGCCUGGAGGCCGACUGACAUCUCAGACACGGCAGGUGCCUGCUGCGCGCUGUUAUCCGUGUCACGGUCCAGCCUGAGGUCUUCUGCGACGAUGAGGGGUUCGAGUCCCGGUGGAUGAUGUUGUAUAGCAGGGAGCCAGAGGGCAACCCUGCAGCGCCAGAACUCUGCAGGCCCGGCCAGGUCCUGGGACUCCUGUGAUCAGUGGAAGACUUCUGCAGGCCGGCCCCGUGAUCGCCACUUGGUCCUGCUGCACAUCUCAGGAAGACGUCCCCUGGCCCCUCAGGGUUCCCAUCACCCCCUCUGAAAUCAGAGAGCCCUUCUCAGGGCAGCAAACCUUAGGCUGUCCCAGCAGCCCCUGGGGAUGGAGAGGGUGGAUAUUCACUUCAUCUCUCUUCAAGGACACUGAUGAUAACCUUGACAACUCCUCUC